rnacentral:rRNA from 1 species
UACGAACCGUGCGAACGUUAUUCGGAAUCACUGGGCUUAAAGCGCGUGUAGGCGGGACGGCACGUCGGUCGCUGAAAGCCCCCGGCUCAACCGGGGAACGGGCGCCGAUACGACCGUCCUGGAGGGACGUAGGGGGACCUGGAACAUCCGGUGGAGCGGUGAAAUGCGUUGAGAUCGGAUGGAACGCCCGUGGCGAAAGCGAGGUCCUGGACGUUUUCUGACGCUGAGACGCGAAAGCCAGGGGAGCGAACGGG